rnacentral:rRNA from 1 species
CAGUCGAGCGGUAGCACAGAGAGCUUGCUCUCGGGUGACGAGCGGCGGACGGGUGAGUAAUGUCUGGGAAACUGCCUGAUGGAGGGGGAUAACUACUGGAAACGGUAGCUAAUACCGCAUAAUGUCGCAAGACCAAAGUGGGGGACCUUCGGGCCUCAUGCCAUCAGAUGUGCCCAGAUGGGAUUAGCUAGUAGGUGGGGUAACGGCUCACCUAGGCGACGAUCCCUAGCUGGUCUGAGAGGAUGACCAGCCACACUGGAACUGAGACACGGUCCAGACUCCUACGGGAGGCAGCAGUGGGGAAUAUUGCACAAUGGGCGCAAGCCUGAUGCAGCCAUGCCGCGUGUGUGAAGAAGGCCUUCGGGUUGUAAAGCACUUUCAGCGGGGAGGAAGGCGAUAAGGUUAAUAACCUUGUCGAUUGACGUUACCCGCAGAAGAAGCACCGGCUAACUCCGUGCCAGCAGCCGCGGUAAUACGGAGGGUGCAAGCGUUAAUCGGAAUUACUGGGCGUAAAGCGCACGCAGGCGGUCUGUCAAGUCGGAUGUGAAAUCCCCGGGCUCAACCUGGGAACUGCAUUCGAAACUGGCAGGCUAGAGUCUUGUAGAGGGGGGUAGAAUUCCAGGUGUAGCGGUGAAAUGCGUAGAGAUCUGGAGGAAUACCGGUGGCGAAGGCGGCCCCCUGGACAAAGACUGACGCUCAGGUGCGAAAGCGUGGGGAGCAAACAGGAUUAGAUACCCUGGUAGUCCACGCCGUAAACGAUGUCGAUUUGGAGGUUGUGCCCUUGAGGCGUGGCUUCCGGAGCUAACGCGUUAAAUCGACCGCCUGGGGAGUACGGCCGCAAGGUUAAAACUCAAAUGAAUUGACGGGGGCCCGCACAAGCGGUGGAGCAUGUGGUUUAAUUCGAUGCAACGCGAAGAACCUUACCUGGUCUUGACAUCCACAGAACUUACCAGAGAUGCUUUGGUGCCUUCGGGAACUGUGAGACAGGUGCUGCAUGGCUGUCGUCAGCUCGUGUUGUGAAAUGUUGGGUUAAGUCCCGCAACGAGCGCAACCCUUAUCCUUUGUUGCCAGCGGUCCGGCCGGGAACUCAAAGGAGACUGCCAGUGAUAAACUGGAGGAAGGUGGGGAUGACGUCAAGUCAUCAUGGCCCUUACGACCAGGGCUACACACGUGCUACAAUGGCAUAUACAAAGAGAAGCGACCUCGCGAGAGCAAGCGGACCUCAUAAAGUAUGUCGUAGUCCGGAUUGGAGUCUGCAACUCGACUCCAUGAAGUCGGAAUCGCUAGUAAUCGUAGAUCAGAAUGCUACGGUGAAUACGUUCCCGGGCCUUGUACACACCGCCCGUCACACCAUGGGAGUGGGUUGCAAAAGAAGUAGGUAGCUUAACCUUCGGGAGGGCGCUUACCACUUUGUGAUUCAUGA